rnacentral:sRNA from 17 species
GUCGGCUUCGGAAGAGCGAUCCGAUAGCUGGCAGAACCCCUGUCUCCUGCGUGAGCGAUCGCGGGAGGCACCGUUCUGUGCAACGGAAUUCCGAAGAAAGUUGGUGCGUUCGUGGAGAAACAAAGUAGCGCAGCGAACUUGUAAUCACCGAUGCCGCAUCGCUCGGGAAGGACAGAGUUCUUCUCGCGGCCUCAGUAGCCUCC